GACGAACGCUGGCGGCGUGCUUAACACAUGCAAGUCGAACGGGCCUGUCUUCUUUUUUGGGGGUGGGUUGAGUGGCGAACGGGUGAGUAUCACGUGAGUAACCUGCCCUUCGGUCCUGGAUAACCGCUUGAAAGGGCGGCUAAUACGGGGUGGUCCGGUUGGUCCGCAUGGGCUGGUCGGGAUAGAUUCACUGUUUUUGGUGUUUCGGCGGGGGAUGGGCUCGCGGCCUAUCGGCUUGUUGGUGGGGUGAUGGCCUACCAAGGCGGUGACGGGUAGCCGGCCGGAGAGGGUGGGCGGCCACACUGGGACUGGGAUACGGCCCAGACUCCUGCGGGAGGCAGCAGUGGGGGGUAUUGCACAAUGGGCGGAAGCCUGAUGCAGCGACGUCGCGUGAGGGAUGGAGGCCUUCGGGUUGUGAACCUCUGUUUCCGGUGGUGAAGGCCCUGUCCGUGUGGUGGGGUUGACGGUAGCCGGGGAUGAAGCGCCGGCUAACUACGUG
rnacentral:rRNA from 1 species